rnacentral:rRNA from 1 species
GAUGAACGCUGGCGGCGUGCUUAACACAUGCAAGUCGAACGAGAAGUGAAGACGGAAACCUUCGGGCGGAAGGCUUUAUUUCGAGUGGCGGACGGGUGAGUAACGCGUGGGUAACCUGCCUCAUACAGGGGGAUAACAGUUGGAAACGACUGUUAAUACCGCAUAAGACCACAGCACCGCAUGGUGCGGGGGUAAAAACUCCGGUGGUAUGAGAUGGACCCGCGUUCGAUUAGCCAGUUGGCGGGGUAACGGCCCACCAAAGCGACGAUCGAUAGCCGAUCUGAGAGGAUGACCGGCCACAUUGGGACUGAGACACGGCCCAAACUCGUACGGGAGGCAGCAGUGGGGAAUAUUGCACAAUGGGGGAAACCCUGAUGCAGCGACGCCGCGUGAGUGAAGAAGUAUUUCGGUAUGUAAAGCUCUAUCAGCAGGGAAGAAAAUGACGGUACCGGAGUAAGAAGCCCCGGCUAACUACGU